ensembl:lncRNA
CAGAAAUAUAUGUGUGUUUGGAACUUUGCAGACAGUUUAGGAGCUCAUUCACGGCCUCUAGAAAAGAACUCCUGAACUGGAGUUGGCUGAAGAGCCUUCUACCUCUGGCAUUUAAAGCGUGCUGGAGCGAGGGGAAAGGCUCUUAUAGGGCCACGAGGGGCAGAGGUGGGGGGCUCCUAAGCCUGGGAGCAGCAAGGCCUUUCGAGGUGUGGGUUCUGCCUGAGCACAGCAUCAGGGAUCUGUGAGCAUGAUCUGGAGGACCCUGGGUGGGAUGGGGAAGCGUUUAUCCAAGGGGCCGCCGACUUUCCUGCCCUCAGCCCCCUCUUGCUCCCUCUGCCUAUCUGUCCUGUUCCUGAGGGUCAAGUGUCUCAGAGGAUCUUGGAGAUCUGGUAACCGCCCCCUCGCACUGAAGCGGCUAAAGGCAGACCAUGGACUAGACCCGCCGGAGGGGCUGGCACUGCCCCCACCCCCUCUGCCAGCCGACGCCUCUUGCUAAAAACAGCCGGGCCCGGGGCCUUUCAGGCCACCCCCUCCAGGCCCGGGCAGGUAUUAGAGGCCGAAGCUGGGCCAGGCGAGCUGGACACCAUGCUGUUCACAGAGACCGCCCACUUCGUGGUGAAUUUCCUUCUGUCCAGGUGGAAGCACCAGUGGCAGAAUAUUAACUACCAACUCCUGGACAAGAGGAAGAGCCAUCUGGUUCCCCUGCGCCCGUGAGAGCGGAGAGGGGCGGGGCCAGGAGAGGGCGCGACCCCCGGAGGGGCGGGUCCAGAGGCGGGGCCUAGCGGAGGUGUGGGGGAAGGGCGAGGCCUGAGCGCGACGUCUGCGGCGGCCUUGCCCGCUCCAGGGCGAGGAGGGCUUGAGCCGAUGGGAGAGGCCCCGCGGGCAAGGCGUAGGUCUCUGCGGGGUUAUUCGUCCCUGCCCUUCUCUGACCCCUGCAAGUAUUUUUUAAAAGGUUAACAAAUUUGACUAUAUUAAAAUUUCUGUUCAUCAGAAAUCACCUAAGAAAAUAAAAUAGAGCUCCAAACAGGGAUCCUCAAACAUAAUGCCAGCUUUGUGCCCCCGUGCAGGGAGCGCAGGGACCAGGAUAGGUCGUGCCUUCUGGCACCAACUGGGUCAGCCCCAGGGGAGAAUGGGCCUGGUGACCAGGCUGAAUGAACUCAGGGAAGGAAGGCUCAGGGUGGCUUGAAGGGCACUGUCUCGGCGACAGUCCUGAGCAUGAUCAUCAUGUGUGCGCUUCACGUUUUUGUGCAUCUCUGAAUGUCUGCAUCCAACUCUUAGCAUGGCUCUGUUUCACUGUGCAUCCGUCUAUCUCUGGUCUCUGUGUCUGUUUAUUUAUUCAACAAAUAUUCACGUAGGGCCCAUUUCAGUGGUUUGUGCCAGGUUUAUACUCUGAGUCGCUGGAUUCACUUUGGUGAAACAAACAGUGGAAGUCCCUGCCCUCAGGAGCUUACAUUCUGGUUGGGGAGGUAGAUGAUACAAGAGGUCAGGGGUUUGAAAAGAACAAAGUGGACCGUGUGCUACUUUACGUGGAGUGGGCAGGGCCUCUGUCUUGUUCACAGACCUGGAACAGCGGCUGACUCAUAAUUGGGGCUCAGUAAAAGUUGAGUGAAUGCAUGGGUUGGUCAGGAGGUCCUGUCUGAGCAGGUAACUCUCAAUCAAGGCUUGCAGGAUGAGGGACCAACCACUCCAGACCCUGGGAAGAGUGUUCUGGGUAGAGAGAACGGCAUACAUCUAGAGGGCGGCCUCUUGCCUCUGGCCGUCUGUCCUGGAGUAUCCUGUUGCUGUGUCUCUGCUGUCUGUUGUCUCUGUGAUCUUGGGAGCUGUGGGGCAGGUUUAAACAGGGCCUCCCCCCAGGGUCUCUGGAAGUGAGGUCACUGCUGAGCUGAUUCACCACACUGGCCCACUCUGGCCUAACUGGGCUGGCCUGCCAUUCCCCUGAAAGCUACCCCUCCCCCCAGCAGCCUCAGUCCCACGACCUCUGGCUCCUUCCCAAGGUAGCAUCCUGCAGCCCGGAAGGAAGUCCUUCGUCCUGUCUAACCACAGUCCCUGCUGAGCCAACGCCAGGCCUUUCCUCUCAUUCUGCCUUGUGGGCAGAGGGCAGGAGAUGAGCUGGCCCUGCAGCAGCAACCUAGACAGAGAUCCCAGUGAGGACCUGAUGAAAUGGGGGUGACAACCCUCUGGCAGCCCCAGGGAGGUGAACCUCUGAAGCACAGAGAUAAUCACUCCUCCUAGAGGCUUCUGCCACAUCCGUUAUCUCAUUUAAUCCUGUAAUAUCCCAUCUUACAGAGAGAAAGUCAGGCAGGUCCAGGGAGGAAAAUGUGGCAGAACUGGGACCAGAACCCAGGUCUCUUGAUAAAAGAGAAAUAAUCACAACAACUAAUAUUUGUUGCACAUUUACUCUCUGCCAGGUACUGAGCUAAAACUGCAUACAUUUUCUUUUUUAAGCCUCAUCACAACCCUGUAUGUUGGGUAUCCUCAUUCCUAUCAUCCUCAGAUAAGGAGAGUGAGGCUCAGAGCCAUUAAAUGACUUGCCCAAGGACACCCAGCUUGUUGGUGGCAGAGCUGUGUGUGAGCCAGGCAGUCUGGCGUGCUCAGCUCCACACCCAGGGCCCCGGGGUUCCAGAGGAGUGUCAUGGAUGUCUGUUUUCCAGAAUGUGAGGAAACAGGCUCCAGGUUCAUCACAUGGUGGUCCCAAGGCCGACUUGUGCAAGCCAGGAUGACAGGAGGACGGCCUGGGAGCACUGCUCGAUCCCAUAGCCCUUCCCUGUGGCUGAAGAUGAUCCAUCUUCGCCCUGUCUCCUGAGGUCUCCGUGUUUCUGCCCUUCACGGCCCAAAUAAAGCAGCUUUUGCCUCUCUCUGGCCCUCUCCACUUUGCAGGGUGAUGAUCUCAGUUCCUUCCAUUCGCAUACACUGUUAGACUGAACCCAAAGGCUGGGAGGGCAUCUGCUGCCACCCCUGACCCUUCCACUGCUCCCAUCUCCCCCGUGAACCCCCCAGUGGGAUAGCCUAGAUGACCCAGACCUGGCUCCUGCCCUCUAGACUCUCGCUGUGCCAUAGAAAGAGAAAGGCAGAGACAUACACCAGCUCAGUAAAGUGCCACAGGAGAGUGAUAUUGUUUGGGGCACAGUGAGUCCUCUGGUGAGUGAGGAAAGCCUUCAGGAAGGGUCUUGAGCUGAAUCUUGACAGGUGGGCAGGCACUGGGUAGGCAUAAGUAGCGCUCCAGGCAGAUUUGGCAGCACAGAGAAAGGUUUGGUCAUUUGCAGGCUGAACUCCUCAUCCCACUGAGGGAACCGUGAGACUGGCGGCCAAAUGGGCUCUGCUUAAAAUGAGGCUAGCUGGACUGGAGCUUCAAAGACGUUGAAGGCUAGAAUAGGGGCUGGACAUUCUCCGGGAGGAAGUAGGGAACCAAGGACAAGUUUUAAACAGGGGAGAGACAUGGUCCCAUCAUGGCAUCUCCAGGCCUAGAGAGUCUCAGAGUCCACUCGGGCGGGCAACAAGUGGUCUCCAGCCCUCAACUACACCCAAGGCCUGCGGCACCUGUCCCUGUGCUUCCCCUUACCCUCUCCCAGAUCGUACUCAGGACUGAGGCCAGGAGUGGAUCUUGCCCAAGC